ACUCAUAACAAUGUGCUAUGAUGAUGAA
rnacentral:sRNA from 1 species